AUUAAACUUCAAUCCAUUGAAGAAAUUCAUUCCCAUUCAUUUUUUUAAAUUCAUAGCUGUUUUUUAUUUAUUUAUUUUUAUUUUUUUUAACUAUCACGACAAUUGUUUUUGAAUCAUACAUCCUCUGAUUGGACUUAUAAACACAUCACCAUCACAAAGAAUAUCUAAUCACACACCGUGAGAAAUUAAUGAUUGAAUGCUGGGAUUCCAAAAGUGAGAACUCCAGCUGAUUUUCCUUCCGCUUGUAAGCACUCACUCAACCUUGCUUGCUUAUCACCAUUCAUUUUUAUUUUAUAAUGAUGCCUUUGCUUUUAACUGAGUCAGUUUGUCACUAAUCUUCAACUUUGUCGUGAUUGAAAACUAUGUCCUUGUUUUUUUUCUGUUAAAAUGUUACGAUUUCUGUUUUACAUGAGCCUCAUUUGUCAGACAAUCGGAUUUUUAGGUCCACUAGAGGAAUCUGACCGUGAAUCAUCACAUUUACAACCGCUUAUGACGAGCACGAACGAUAAUGCACUUCACGAUGCCUUCGCAGAAAUAUACGCGGCCAAAGCUGAGAAAAUCAUCAUCAACACCACAGAUUUCGAGAUUGUCACCCAUUCGUCCGGCUACAUCGAUAAAAACUCCUCUCAUCUUGGAUCUGCUACCGCUUCCAUCCCAUAUCGUCAUCCACGGCCCGCGGGGGUUUUU
rnacentral:lncRNA from 1 species